GGUCACUGCUAUCGGGGUUCGAUUAAGCCAUGCGAGUUGAGAGGGUUCAGACCCUCGGCAGACUGCUCAGUAACACGUGGAUAACCUGCCCUAAGGUGGAGAAUAACCCCGGGAAACUGGGGAUAAUACUCCAUAGAUUAUAGAUACUGGAAUGUUUUAUAGUCGAAAGCUCCGGCGCCUUAGGAUGGAUCUGCGGCCGAUUAGGUUGUUGUUGGGGUAACGGCCCAACAAGCCUGUAAUCGGUACGGGUUGUGGGAGCAAGAGCCCGGAGAUGGAAUCUGAGACACGAUUCCAGGCCCUACGGGGCGCAGCAGGCGCGAAAACUUUACAAUGCAGGAAACUGUGAUAAGGGAACCCCGAGUGCCCGUAUAUGCGGGCUGUCCAGGUGUUUAAAAUGCAUCUGAAGAAAGGGCCGGGCAAGACCGGUGCCAGCCGCCGCGGUAAUACCGGCGGCUCGAGUGGUGGCCACUAUUAUUGGGCUUAAAGCGUCCGUAGCUGGAUUGAUAAGUCUCCUGGGAAAUCCGCCGGCUUAACCGGUGGGCGUCCGGGAGAUACUGUUAAUCUAGGGACCGGGAGAGGUGAGAGGUACUCCGGGGGUAGGAGUGAAAUCCUGUAAUCCCCGGGGGACCACCUGUGGCGAAGGCGUCUCACCAGAACGGCUCCGACAGUGAGGGACGAAAGCUGGGGGAGCGAACCGGAUUAGAUACCCGGGUAGUCCCAGCCGUAAACGAUGCGCGUUAGGUGUACCGGUGACCACGAGUUACCGGGGUGCCGAAGGGAAACCGUGAAACGUGCCGCCUGGGAAGUACGGUCGCAAGGCUGAAACU
rnacentral:rRNA from 1 species